rfam:Clostridium sp. 26_22 Ley3_66761_scaffold_4690, whole genome shotgun sequence.
AAAUAAUUAAAAAUAAAGCCAAAGACAGUAGGCAAUAUAAGUCCUACCGAGGUUAAUUAAUAAAGUGUAAGCACUUUUUAUAACCGCGGUAUGGCUAUAAAAAGUGUUUUUAAAUUUAAAU